ensembl:lncRNA
UUCACAAGUUUAAAUAACUUGACUGUUUGAUCGACUUCACAAGUUUAAAUAACUUGACUGUUUUAUCCAAGUGCACCAUACUGUACCCCCCGUGUCUCAAUAACUUCCUAAAAAGGUCAUCAGAAUGGUUUUAUUUCACCUGAACAUUUCAGUGACAUUCAUUUCAUUCAACAUCAAGUUUAAGCCAAAGCAAAAUUUGAUACUUAACGGAGAAGCACAUUUAAGGAAUGUAUCCAAUACUAGGAUAGAUCCACCAAGAUGGCAUGAGAAGCACAACUGAAGAUUGAUUUGAUACAUUUAUAUUUGGAUUUAAUAAGUGUACUACACCCCCUCUUAAAGCCAUAGCGAUAAGACAAAGCUAAUUAAUGUAUUUAAGGCUAUCAUAUCUUUGCUGUAUAAUAAUAGUAUUUUUUGAAUUGGCAGUACAUGUCUUAAGUUAUUACUAAAGCUAUAGAGAGGCCUUUAUUCAAAGUAUUGCUUUCUGUGAACUUUAACUUAUGGUCGCCCAUUGUGCGGAGUGGAGCUUCUGGAGGUGUGAGCGGUCGGUUCUGUGUGCGUUGUGUCAGUAUUUUAGUGUUUUAACCUGCGCUGUGAGGGUGAGCUCAAACUCCACCUGUCAAAGGGGGUCCGCUUCCUCUGUGCAGAGGCUGUGAAGAAGUGACCUUUGAACUCAAACUCCACCUGUCAAAGGGGUCCGCUUCCUCUGUGCAGAGGCUGUGAAGAAGUGACCUUUGAACUCAAACUCCACCUGCCAGUGGUUCUGAAGCGUCAGAAGUGACCCGUGGUUAUGAAGCGUCAGCUAUACAAAUGCUCACUGUCUCUGUUGUACAUCUAAAUCUUACACAGGUGACGUCUUUCGGUUGUAAAAUAUGAAUAUGUGAUGUUUGUUUCUUUUAUGCAUUUUCAUGGCAGACUGCAGGGUAUUUGAGAUGAGAUGAGAUGAGAUCGAGUCAGACGCUGAGACAAAUGAUGAAAUGUGAGUCGAGAGGAAGCUGAAAGGUUGUUGGUUUUUGGGCUUAUGAGCUUCAGUACUUAUCAUUUUCCUUACUUCCUUGUUUUUGAGAAUGACAGUAUUCUCUCUGUUCAUUGAAAGUGGCAAUAAAGUUUAUUUUUGCAUAAUUAUAAAAUGCUGC